GGUUGAGAAGUGGAGCUCCUUGAAGUCCAAUAGAGGAUCUUGCUGGGUAGAUUGAGCUGCUGAGCUAUGGAUCCCACAGCCCUAUCUCAUAAUAAAGACUUUAGUCUUCUUGGAUAGGCUUGUGGCUUGCAUAUCUCAGGAGCUUCAUUACCUCUUAUGUUAGAUCCUUGUUUGGAUUGAAGGGAGCUCUACAUCUCAAUCUU
rnacentral:pre_miRNA from 1 species